UACGUAGGGGGCAAGCGUUGUCCGGAAUCAUUGGGCGUAAAGCGCGUGUAGGCGGCUUGGUAAGUCCGUUCUGAAAGCCCGGGGCUCAACCCCGGGAGGCGGAUGGAUACUGUCAAGCUUGAGUCCGGAAGAGGCGACUGGAAUUCCUGGUGUAGCGGUGAAAUGCGCAGAUAUCAGGAGGAACACCGGUGGCGAAGGCGGGUCUCUGGGCCGAUACUGACGCUGAGGAGCGAAAAGCGUGGGGGAGCGAACAGGAUUAGAAAACCCCCAGUAGU
rnacentral:rRNA from 1 species